UGGGGAAUAUUGGACAAUGGGCGAAAGCCUGAUCCAGCCAUGCCGCGUGUGUGAAGAAGGUCUUCGGAUUGUAAAGCACUUUAAGUUGGGAGGAAGGGCCAUUACCUAAUACGUGAUGGUUUUGACGUUACCGACAGAAUAAGCACCGGCUAACUCUGUGCCAGCAGCCGCGGUAAUACAGAGGGUGCAAGCGUUAAUCGGAAUUACUGGGCGUAAAGCGCGCGUAGGUGGUUUGUUAAGUUGGAUGUGAAAUCCCCGGGCUCAACCUGGGAACUGCAUUCAAAACUGACUGACUAGAGUAUGGUAGAGGGUGGUGGAAUUUCCUGUGUAGCGGUGAAAUGCGUAGAUAUAGGAAGGAACACCAGUGGCGAAGGCGACCACCUGGACUGAUACUGACACUGAGGUGCGAAAGCGUGGGGAGCAAACGGGAUUAGAUACCCUAGUAGUCCCUGAGCGGGCUGGCAAGGCGCAU
rnacentral:rRNA from 1 species